rnacentral:rRNA from 1 species
AGCACCGGCUAACUACGUGCCAGCAGCCGCGGUAAUACGUAGGGUGCAAGCGUUAUCCGGAAUUAUUGGGCGUAAAGGGCUCGUAGGCGGUUCGUCGCGUCCGGUGUGAAAGUCCAUCGCUUAACGGUGGAUCCGCGCCGGGUACGGGCGGGCUUGAGUGCGGUAGGGGAGACUGGAAUUCCCGGUGUAACGGUGGAAUGUGUAGAUAUCGGGAAGAACACCAAUGGCGAAGGCAGGUCUCUGGGCCGUUACUGACGCUGAGGAGCGAAAGCGUGGGGAGCGAACAGGAUUAGAUACCCUGGUAGUCCACGCCGUAAACGGUGGAUGCUGGAUGUGGGGCCCGUUCCACGGGUUCCGUGUCGGAGCUAACGCGUUAAGCAUCCCGCCUGGGGAGUACGGCCGCAAGGCUAAAACUCAAAGAAAUUGACGGGGGCCCGCACAAGCGGCGGAGCAUGCGGAUUAAUUCGAUGCAACGCGAAGAACCUUACCUGGGCUUGACAUGUUCCCGACGAUCCCAGAGAUGGGGUUUCCCUUCGGGGCGGGUUCACAGGUGGUGCAUGGUCGUCGUCAGCUCGUGUCGUGAGAUGUUGGGUUAAGUCCCGCAACGAGCGCAACCCUCGCCCCGUGUUGCCAGCGGAUUGUGCCGGGAACUCACGGGGGACCGCCGGGGUUAACUCGGAGGAAGGUGGGGAUGACGUCAGAUCAUCAUGCCCCUUACGUCCAGGGCUUCACGCAUGCUACAAUGGCCGGUACAACGGGAUGCGACAGCGCGAGCUGGAGCGGAUCCCUGAAAACCGGUCUCAGUUCGGAUCGCAGUCUGCAACUCGACUGCGUGAAGGCGGAGUCGCUAGUAAUCGCGAAUCAGCAACGUCGCGGUGAAUGCGUUCCCGGGCCUUGUACACACCGCCCGUCAAGUCAUGAAAGUGGGCAGCACCCGAAGCCGGUGGCCUAACCCCUUGCGGGAGGGAGCCGUCUAAGGUGAGGCUCGUGAUUGGGACUAAGUCGUAACAAGGUAGCCGUACCGGAAGGUGCGGCUG